GGGGUUAUGUAUUUGGGUAGACUAGACUAUACUAGGUUUGCUUAGCUGCUCUACUCAUCUUAUACACAUGCCUAAACAAGUAUUAGUCUCUACUCAACUUGAUGCUUAAAUUGUGCUGAAUCUUUGGUCACUGCGGUGAUGGCGAUGUUGGGUGCUUAUGAGCAUCGUGAUGAUGGUGGUGACAGGGGGAGCGGGUACCGUUG
rnacentral:lncRNA from 1 species